GAUAUUCUUGUUUCCGGGUUUAUUUGUCUGUUUAUUCCUUUAACUUCCUGCGAUAUUCCUAUUUAUUUUGCUCCCUAGUUUCGUUUUAUUGUGCUAUUGACUUUAUUAAAACCUCUCUGUUUCUCUUGUUGUUAGAUUUCUCCCUCCUGGUCCAGGGCCAAACCUUCCUAACAGUCCGUUAAGUCCUGGAUGUCUUGACGCUGUUCCCUCCUAUUGAUAUCCACCUUAUUUUUCUUUCUCUGAUUAUUGCACUAUUGGUUAUUGGUUAUUACCCCUGUCUCUAGGUUGUUAUAAUUGUUCUCUCUUAUUGAGUAUCUGCUUACUUCAAAUGUUUUUACUUGUAUGUUUCUCUGUACUGUAUAUUCUUCUACCUUGCAGCACAGUAUGUAAUGUUUAAUGGUCUUACUGGUCAAUCGCUGAUAUCGUCAUGACAUUUAUUACCAUUUUAUUUACUAAUGUUCAUGUAUUUUUAAUUUAUCCUGUUCAAACUUCUAGUAUUAUAUUACUUCAAUGGUUAUUCAUGUACCAUUCACUCAUCUCUCCUUUAGUGUGGGACUGGGUGCGUCCUCCCUACCAGGUCACAGUCAAGUGACGGUCCGGGAGAAG
ensembl:lncRNA